GGCGUUCGCUUAGAACGUC
rnacentral:misc_RNA from 1 species